rnacentral:rRNA from 1 species
AUUGAACGCUGGCGGCAUGCCUUACACAUGCAAGUCGAACGGCAGCACGGGGCAACCUGGUGGCGAGUGGCGAACGGGUGAGUAAUGCAUCGGAACGUGCCAUUGAGUGGGGGAUAACGUAGCGAAAGUUGCGCUAAUACCGCAUAUUCUGUGAGCAGGAAAGCAGGGGACCGCAAGGCCUUGCGCUCUUUGAGCGGCCGAUGUCAGAUUAGCUAGUUGGUGAGGUAACGGCUUACCAAGGCGACGAUCUGUAGCGGGUCUGAGAGGAUGAUCCGCCACACUGGAACUGAGACACGGUCCAGACUCCUACGGAGGCAGCAGUGGGGAAUUUUGGACAAUGGGCGCAAGCCUGAUCCAGCCAUGCCGCGUGAGUGAAGAAGGCCUGGUUCGGUAAA